GAUGAAGAACGCAGCGAAAUGCGAUACCUGGUGUGAAUUGCAGAAUCCCGCGAACCAUCGAGUCUUUGAACGCAAGUUGCGCCCGAGGCCACCCGGCCGAGGGCACGCCUGCCUGGGCGUCACGCCAAAACACGCUCCCACCCCCCCUCACCGGGGGAGCGGGACGCGGCGUCUGGCCCCCCGUGCCGCGGGGCGCGGUGGGCCGAAGAUCGGGCUGCCGGCGUACCGUGCCGGGCACAGCGCGUGGUGGAUCUCUACUCGGCGCAGUGCACCCGGCGCGUAGCCGGCGCAGCGGCCCCUAAGGACCCAACGAACGGAGCGCGAGCCGCUCCGACCGCGACCCCAGGUCAGGCGGGACUACCCGCUGAGUUUAAGCAUAUCAAUAAGCGGAGGA
rnacentral:misc_RNA from 1 species